CGCACCUGCCCUAUCAUCCGACCCUGAGAAACUGCCCAUAGUCACAUCUGUUACUGUUUUAUACCCCACUAGCUCUGGUUGGCCACUGAAACAGCCCACAGCCUGUGUGUGGUCAUGCCAUUCCUGAUAACCAUUAUUCCUCAUUCCUACCCCUAUCUGAGCAAGCACUCCUGUGGUCUCUCGAUUUGAGUGCUGGUUAGUCAACGACGGGUAAGAUCCCCUUGGGGACAACCUAAGACAGGCACAGCUGCGUACGGAGACCACAUGGAAACGGGGUCAACAAUGGUAUGGCCAAGAAUCAUGCCUCCCACUGCUCAAAAAUCAACGAAAAUGGGGAAAUGUGGUGGAAUGAGAAGGCCAUGUCAAGAUGGCCACUGGCAAGCGAGUGUCAGUUACUCAGGAAUGGCUUUGAAACCCACCUGGCAAUGGAGCCUGCCUGGCAACAGGCUGUGAUUGGAUGGCUUUGGAAACUGCCUGGCAACAGGCUGUGAUUGGUUGGGGCAUAGACCGCCCCUUGACCGGAUUGGCUGGUCUUGGCUAUGUAAGAUAUUGUACCAACUGAAAUAAAUGAGUUUGCGGGCUGCUUGCCUCAAGCCUGCUUUCACCGGACUCCCGGGGUCUGUGUGGUGACUCUGUGCCUCUUGCCCCCACCACGCUCAUUCUCUCAGAAAUGAAUCUACUGCAACAUUGUUGAGAAAUCAACUGCAACAGUGAAGUAUGAAGAACUCUGCUUUGGUGACCUCAUUACAUGGCUAGCUGCUUCUCAGCAGGCAGAAAGAAACACUGGGAGCUGCAAAACACCAGUGUUGACCUGUGUGUUGUGCUCGGCAUGUGAGAGCCAGGGUGACAUAACUCACCAUGUGGGACCUGUUACCAGCCUUGUUCUGGGCUGCUUGCCAAGGUUCCCAUUACAGAUAUCCUUUAAGAAAACACUGUAUAUAUUCCUCCUCUCUGGAAAAAGGCAUGGGAUUCAAUAUGGAUAUAACUGUGUUGCAAAGUAUAAUUUUACAGAGAUACAACAAAAACAAAAGCAAGAAGAGGAUCAUGUAUUGGACAUGCACAAGAUUAUGGUUCCUGCAGCCAUAA
rnacentral:lncRNA from 1 species